CUUCAGCCCACCGCCCACGUGGGACCCAGAGGAGCCUGCAAGUACUUGGACCAAAGCCAGAGUUGCGGCCACAGGCAGGCAGGCAGGAAGGAAAGAACGGCAAACUGCCCGGUGCAGGUGACAGUGUUUUGCCUGCAUGUAUGGAAGUCCACACCAUAUGUAUUCAGCGGCCAUAGAGGCAGCAGGGGAUACCAGAUCCCUGGAACUGGAUGAAACUGGAGCUACAGAUAGUUACCAACUGCCAUGCGGGUACUGGGAACCGAACCCAUGACCUCAGCAAGAGCAGCUGUCCUUGAGGAGGAGGCCAACACACCAGGUUCCAAGAUGGCUGCCUCUUCCAAGCACGCGCCCCUCCUACUCCCGUCCCCAGAACGGAGCAGAAAGCGCAAAGGACAGUCAAAAAAGGAAAAGCGCAGCCCAGAAGCUCCCUGGUUUCGCUCCUAAACCUGCCCCUUCCUUGGAGGAGGUGAAGCCCCUGCAUCCCCGUGAUCCGAGCUGGUGCGCAGUCCCCAGGCCUUGUAUGGGUUUCGGUGAAGCAGGCUCUGUCCCUGCCGUGUUUAUGCAGCUGGAUGAAGAGGGCCUGUCUUUGGCCAAGGGCAGCAACCGGCACCAUCAGAAGAUCUGCUUCGGCCAUCUUGGCCCAGCCUCAGGGAUGCUCUCUCCAGUCUACCGCCAAAGCCAGGGGCUGAGGAGAGGAGCCGAUUGGCCCACAGCACCAAACCUGCUUUUCCCAGGAGUGCUGAGCUACCACAUCAUCCUUUCUCCCUCUCCCAGCAUCCUCAGAAAAGCUCAGAGUGGAGAUCAAGUUACUGAGGUGCUGAUGAGGCACAUGACAGACAUCUCUGGAGCUUUACAGAUGCCCCCACCCUUCAGGGCCACUGUGGAAUGCAGGAAGGAAUGGCCAGCAGGUGUCAAUGAUGGGUAGAUUCCAGAGUCCAGGCUGAGACUGCCCCUCCUCUGAGACCACACCCCAUUCACAAGCUUCCUGUGGCCCCUUGUCCCAUCUAUGAGUUUCCUAACCCCCCAAACCAUAAUCUCACCACUGGAGCUUGCCUGCCCUUGGAGUCCUGACACAUGGGACCUCCCCCAAAGGAAGGGGAGUUCAGAGGCCUCCCAUUGGAUCCCUCCCUUCCUGGACAGUAAGCUGGCUUGCUGCAGACCCUGUCUGUGAGCCAAAUGGACCUCUUAAUGUAGGCCCCCAAAGAAACUCAGGGAAACUAAAGACAGCCUUUGACCACUUUGCCAUGGGCUGGGGCGGGAUCUCACAUCUGUAUAACCAGGAAACUGGAACAUCUGUUUAAUUUUAUUCGGCCAGGAACAGGCCGGGUCACCCAGGUAAGGAAAAGGCCUUCAGCGCCACCUGCUGGAGAUACACUAGCAACAUUUUAUAGGGGAUGUUCCAAGGAUGUCUUGUGAGACUGAGGAGAGAUGUGAGUAGGCACAUGGUGGAGGCAUACACAAAAUUAGAUCACAUGACUUGUUUUGAAUAUGUUGGUAAAUUUAUCGGGCUUAGACUCUGCAAGGGGGUGUGGGAGGCAGCUGCUACAAUCAUCUGUACCCAUAGAAUUUUUUUUUGUUUGUUUGUUUUGUUUUUCGAGACAGGGUUUCUCGGUGUAAUUUUGGUGCCUG